rnacentral:misc_RNA from 1 species
AUUUAGUAGCUUUUGGUAUCUGUUGUAAGUAGGAUUUUCUUUUAGCUGCAGCAACCCAAGUAAGAAACAAAAGGGGCCAUUUUUAUUGAUAAAAAAAAUUGAAUCUUUAGAACUCUGCAUAUAGGAACACAAUUGUUCCAUUAGACACAUAUCUGACUGUGUGAAUGUGUGUAUGAGUGUGCUAGAGCAUUUUCCUUUUCAGUUCAAGGUUCAUAAUGUACUGGAGUGACUUCACAGGGUAUGUUAUUGUUUUUGUAGUAUUAGUGUUUGCUUUUGCUUUUCCUCCAAUCGCAGUUUCUUUCUUG